rnacentral:rRNA from 1 species
UACGAAGGGGGGGCUAGCGUUUGUUCGGAUUUUACUGGGCGUAAAAGCGCACGUAGGCGGAUCGUUAAGUCAGGGGGUGAAAUCCUGGAGCUCAACUCCAGAACUGCCUUUGAUACUGGCGAUCUUGAGUCCGGAAGAGGUGAGUGGAACUCCUAGUGUAGAGGUGGAAUUCGUAGAUAUUAGGAAGAACACCAGUGGCGAAGGCGGCUCACUGGUCCGGUACUGACGCUGAGGUGCGAAAGCGUGGGG